rnacentral:lncRNA from 1 species
UUCGGGGAUUUGAACUUUUCAACCCUAAGAUUAACGACAAAUACUAACAAGCAAAAACAAAUACAGUAAAGUAAAGAGGGAAAGAGGGUUGGACCCAAAUCUGGUUUCUGUCCGCCUGGACCAGUAUUUGGGCCCAUUUUCGUUUUGGGCCUUCGGCCCAUUUAAGUCAUUUGUACCUGUCCUAUUCUAGCAUAAUAGAAGUAUUUUCUAUCUUUUGGGUCUUAGUCCCAAUUCUUCCACCUGCCCUAAACUAAUACAACAAUAACAAUUGAAAUGACAAGGGCUUAGGCCCAAAAUAACAAAAUACAACUAUUAUGAAUUAAGAGUGGGCCUUUGGCCCAAUCUUUUCAAAUUUCUCAAUCGGUUGCUCCUUUCAACCUCGAGACCUGUUCGUCAAUUUUUGAUGGCCGAUUCUUCAAAUUUUCUUGUCGGCUGACUCAAUAGGAGGAAUUUGAGCCUUUAUGGCUCUCUUGAAAUGUGAGAGGAAUGUGACUUGAGUUCAUAGAGAACUCGGGCAGAUUUCACAUGCAAGCAAGAAGGAUACAAAAGUCAAUGUAUAAUCCGACUUGAAGUAAAUAUAGAAGAAGCAGACCGAUUUGCAAGAAAUAUCUACUAACUCAGAUAAUAGAUGAACACACAACCCCACUAAAGGAAAUCAUACAGGAACACAAUGGACAAAAUAAUAACUUUAAAGAUAUGAUUAAAGGGGCUCAAUAACCACUUCGUUAUAAAAAAUUAAUGUACUACCAUACUAACUAAUAAUACAUAAGUGCAAAGCAUAAUCGUAGCAUUCAAGUGUAAAUAAUAAUAAUAAUAAUAAUAAUAAUAAUAAUAAUAAUAAUAAUAAUAAUAAUAAUAAUAAUAAUAAUAAUAAUAAUAAUAAUAAUAAUAAUAAUAAUAAUAAUAAUAAUAAUAAUAAUAAUAAUAAUAAUAAUAAUAAUAAUAAUAAUAAUAAUAAUAAUAAUAAUAAUAAUAAUAAUAAUAAUAAUAAUAAUAAUAAUAAUAAUAAUAAUAAUAAUAAUAAUAAUAAUAAUAAUAAUAAUAAUAAUAAUAAUAAUAAUAAUAAUAAUAAUAAUAAUAAUAAUAAUAAUAAUAAUAAUAAUAAUAAUAAUAAUAAUAAUAAUAAUAAUAAUAAUAAUAAUAAUAAUAAUAAUAAUAAUAAUAAUAAUAAUAAUAAUAAUAAUAAUAAUAAUAAUAAUAAUAAUAAUAAUAAUAAUAAUAAUAAUAAUAAUAAUAAUAAUAAUAAUAAUAAUAAUAAUAAUAAUAAUAAUAAUAAUAAUAAUAAUAAUAAUAAUAAUAAUAAUAAUAAUAAUAAUAAUAAUAAUAAUAAUAAUAAUAAUAAUAAUAAUAAUAAUAAUAAUAAUAAUAAUAAUAAUAAUAAUAAUAAUAAUAAUAAUAAUAAUAAUAAUAAUAAUAAUAAUAAUAAUAAUAAUAAUAAUAAUAAUAAUAAUAAUAAUAAUAAUAAUAAUAAUAAUAAUAAUAAUAAUAAUAAUAAUAAUAAUAAUAAUAAUAAUAAUAAUAAUAAUAAUAAUAAUAAUAAUAAUAAUAAUAAUAAUAAUAAUAAUAAUAAUAAUAAUAAUAAUAAUAAUAAUAAUAAUAAUAAUAAUAAUAAUAAUAAUAAUAAUAAUAAUAAUAAUAAUAAUAAUAAUAAUAAUAAUAAUAAUAAUAAUAAUAAUAAUAAUAAUAAUAAUAAUAAUAAUAAUAAUAAUAAUAAUAAUAAUAAUAAUAAAAUCGAUAUCCCUAAAUUCUAAAGCGGGACACAUGAGAUCAAAGAAAAGCCAGGAAUUCAAGACAUAAAUAAUGAUAGACGAAUGUUGACUUAACAUAACGUAGCAAUAUAGAUAGAUGACCCUCCCUUCUAACGUGUAAUGAAUGCUCAAACAAUGGUACCGAGAUGAAUGUCAUGCUUUUGUGUAAUCAUUGGGGAAGUGAUGCAUCUAUUUAGUAUUAGCGAAAUUUCACACUCAAACGAGAAUGAGCCAAUUAACAAAAUAACGAAGUAGGACAGGGAAGUGUAUAAUUUCCGGACAUGAGCAAGAUAGGACCUUGACAAAUUGCAGAUUAAUGAGGAAAUAUGAGAAAGAUGGACAUGCUUCAAUAUUUAUCAAGACAUCAAACCAACACCAAGACAAGAACACAAACAACGGAAUAGAGAGUGCCGUUUUCGAAAUGGAUUAAAUACGAAGGUUAAGAAGCGAACAUUUUGGAGCUAAUCUAAGACGGCAAGAAGCAAUAUAAAUUAAAGCUAAAUACUCCACGGGAAACAGAUUUUUCAGGCUCCGACAAACCCAUAACAAUUGCUCUCUAUGAUUCUGCUCCUUUCAAAUAGAAAUACGAGUGACCAACAAUAACAAAUAAUGAAGGAGCUGGUGCUUAAGACGAAGUAACUCCAAGAUCUCAUCUAACAUCCACGAACCAAAGCAACAACAAACCCGAUAACACAUCUUAUACUUCGAGCAAUUAAGACGCACUUAGUUUGAAACCAAUCGUCCGUCGUUCAGCAUCAGCAAUAAAUCAAAAGGAAAGAAACGAGAUAUUUGAAAAAGGAAUUUUACCUAUUUCGGGGCAGCGAGCUGAACAAGAACGAGCAGGGGACGACUUCACCACCGAAAUACUACUCCGAGAACUCCUACAAGCAGAGCAAAGACAAGCGAGAACAAGGAACUAAGCCAAAAAAUUAACUCCCCCCUCUACCACGGAGCCUAUUUUCUAAGUAUGUAUAUAGUUG